AAGUCGUAACAAGGUCUCCGUUGGUGAACCAGCGGAGGGAUCAUUACCGAGUUUACAACUCCCAAACCCCCAUGUGAACGUUACCAAACUGUUGCCUCGGCGGGUCAUUCAUGCCCCGGGCGCGUCGCAGCCCCGGACCAAGGCGCCCGCCGGAGGACCAACCAAAACUCUUCUGUAUGUCCCUCGCGGACUUUUAUAAUUCUGAACCAUCUCGGCGCCCCUAGCGGGCGUUUCGAAAAUGAAUCAAAACUUUCAACAACGGAUCUCUUGGUUCUG
rnacentral:misc_RNA from 1 species